GUGCUCACUUCAGCAACACAUGAACUAAACCUGGGAAUGACACAGAGCAGGUUAGCACGGCCCCUGCACAAGGCUGACAUGCAGAUGCGUGAGAGAUUCCAUGUUUAA
rnacentral:snRNA from 1 species